rnacentral:rRNA from 1 species
UACGGAGGGGGCUAGCGUUGUUCGGAAUUACUGGGCGUAAAGCGCGCGUAGGCGGAUCUGCAAGUCGGGGGUGAAAUCCCGAGGCUCAACCUCGGAACUGCCUUCGAUACUGCGGGUCUCGAGUCCGGGAGAGGUGAGUGGAAUUCCUAGUGUAGAGGUGAAAUUCGUAGAUAUUAGGAAGAACACCAGUGGCGAAGGCGGCUCACUGGCCCGAUACUGACGCUGAGGCACGAAAGCGUGGGGAGCAAACAGG